UACGUAGGGUGCAAGCGUUGUCCGGAAUCAUUGGGCGUAAAGCGCGCGUAGGCGGCCCGAUAAGUCCGCUGUAAAAGUCAACGGCUCAACUGUUGAAAGCCGGUGGAUACUGUCGGGCUAGAGUACGGAAGAGGCAAGUGGAAUUCCUGGUGUAGCGGUGGAAUGCGCAGAUAUCAGGAGGAACACCGAUAGCGAAGGCAGCUUGCUGGGACGUUACUGACGCUAAGGCGCGAAAGCGUGGGGAGCGAACAGG
rnacentral:rRNA from 1 species